rnacentral:rRNA from 1 species
UACGUAGGGUGCGAGCGUUAAUCGGAUUUACUGGGCGUAAAGCGUGCGCAGGCGGCCCGUUAAGACAGGUGUGAAAUCCCUGGGCUCAACCUAGGAAUUGCGCUUGUGACUGGCGGGCUCGAGUACGGUAGAGGGGGGUGGAAUUCCUGGUGUAGCAGUGAAAUGCGUAGAGAUCAGGAGGAACACCGAUGGCGAAGGCAGCCCCCUAGGCCUGUACUGACGCUCAUGCACGAAAGCGUGGGGAGCAAACAGG